AUGUCGCAGAGGAAACCGAUUCCGGCGGAGCUUGUCCCGAGGACGCCUCUGUGCUCCCGGGAGAUGAUUUGGUGCAGAGUAAAAAUGGGAGAGUUCACACUUCAGUCUCAAAAAUCUCCCCAAGUCUGCAAAAAUGAUUCUAUUUCAGCUUUCUUUUGGCAGAAAGAAGAGGAACCUACUGCACGUUCUCUGAGUUUGGGAAAGGCAAUAUGGAAAACUCGACCUUUUUCGGUUUUGAGGUGGCCGUUUGACCCGAAUCUCAGUCCUCCAGGGGAUGGAAGAAGAGUUGUUGCUUUGUGUGUGCAGCUUUCCUCGUCCUGAGGAUGGGGUGACGGCCUCCCAGCGCUCUACAUGUUGAGGGCUGAGCUGAAGCCAGACGUGCCCCUCUGCGGCUCCUGCCACGUGCCUUCGGGAUCCACGCUUCCUCUUUCCCUCUCGUUUGCUCCUUUCUUGCUGUCACUCAGCCUGUCAGUCGUGUCUGACUCUUUGUGACCCCAUGGACUGCGGGACUCCAGGCUUCCCUGUCCUUCACUCUCUCUCAAAGUUUGUGCAAACUCAUAUCCAUUGAGUUGAUGAUGCCAUCCAACCAUCUCAUCCUCUGUCACCCCCUUCUCCUCCUGCCCUGGCCGCUCAGAUGAUAAAGAAUCUGCCUGCAGUCCAGGAGAUCUGGAUUCGAUCCCUGGGUCGGGAAGAUCCCCUGGAGGAGGGCAUGGCAGCCCACUCCAGUAUUCUUGCCUGGAGAAUUCCAUGGACAGAGGAGCCUGGCAGGCUGCAGUCCAUGGGGUUGCAAAGAGGCGGAAAAUAAUUGGGUUUCCUAUAAAGCUGUCAAAGUAGAGGAGAAAAAGUCAAGGAGAUGUGACAUCUAAAGAGUGAGAGUCCCUUAUGGGGAAUGCUCUUCCACGCUGGGCCCGAACACUCCGAUGCCGGGAGCUUGGGUGACCAGCAGAGAGGCAUUCUCUGCUGAUUCCUCCCAGUCUGGCCUCGGCCUCAGACGCCCCGGCUACCCCAGGCAGCAGAUGCAACCUGGCCAGGUGGCCUUUGUCUGGUCAGGUGACUGAGCUCUGGGGCCAGGCUGGAGUAGCUCAAACCACCUACUUCUUUACUGACACUGCCCCAUGGUGACUUCCGAGGGUGGGUUGAUGACCAACAUUUGGGACUCUCUGGAGGACACACCUGGGAGGUGUGGGCUCUGCCUCUGUCAACGAGAAUCUGGAAGGCAAACCUCCUGGUGUGAGCAGGGCCAUGUGGAAGGAGUGUCCAGGCUCAGAGGGCACGUCCUCCGCCUCUACCCGGGAGACCCAGGGGGGCCUGGCAGAAUGAC
rnacentral:lncRNA from 1 species